rnacentral:lncRNA from 1 species
AACAAGAAGAAUCAGGACUGAAUAAACUGCUGUUAGAAGGACUGGUGGUCGCAUCGUUCUUGCUGGUCGAGAGCGGGCGCGACACUUCAGCAUUUCUUUUGUUCUGUUGCUGUCUUCAAGUCUCUGCUCAGGACAAGCAUCAGGGAGAGUAUGGUCAGUCUCUGACAUAGGAAUGUACAAGAAAAGCAAAGGUGGCGUCUCCCCAGUUACUUGUGGGCCAAGACUUGUCCUGUUUACCUCAGGGCCACAGAACUCUGCAGAGACAAAGAGACCCAGCCCUAUUCUCAACACUGAUAUCCAGUUCAUGGCUAAGGGCACAACAGCAGCUCAGCUGCUGGUGGCUCCAUAUCAGGAGCACCAGACUCCAGGGCUGCCUUGAGGUAAAGAGACUGGAGGUCUCAGUUUCAAUAAAUAAUACAUAGUCUCAGUACAACGCACCUGCAAGUAUCUGCUGUGCAGCAUCAGGAGGUGGGCAUCGCUGUCUGCAUCUCUCCCAGACUCAGCAGGGCACCUGUUGUCUGUGGAGCCACUCUGGAAAAAGCUGGUAUCCUGACAACCAGGUUUCUAAUCAUUAGGACUUAACGGAACACCUUCCAAGCAAGAUGAAGAAAACCACGCCCAUAGUGAAUGACUCACUCUGAAUCAGCCGACCACCAGAUCCUGAGCCCUUCAGCAAUGCAGCUCACCAUGUUGGCUUCUUUCCUGAGACAUUACUAUAGAGUCACAAUAAUAAGAAUAGAACUAUAACCACAGAGAUCUGUCUUAUAAACGAAGGACAAGUGACACAGGUAGAUGAGAGGAAGAACUAUUCUAUAUGAGUUCAUUUGUAGAGGAUUCUGAUAUAGGAAAAAUGGACUAUAGUGCCAAAGUCAAGUAAACGGGUCCACUAGUGGAGUGGGCAAUAGUGAAAAAAAGGCAUAUUAGAGGAAUCUCAAGGCAGUGUGAAGCCAUUCAGCACUGCGGUCUGGCCAGCCUGCAUAAAUCGCCUGCUCUCUUUCACAGCCUUCCCUGAAAAUAAAGCGACUGCACACAGACGGCGGCGGCGUAUGAAAAUAAAGCCAGGGCUUCCUCCAAGCCUUUCUGCUUGCAUAGCAGUGCAGUGUAUUUCAAUUAACAUCCAACCUUCUCCAACAGUGCUACUUCAGUAUUUGUAAGAGCCUGCCUUUUAGAAUUUAAUACUCAGACAGCCAUUUUGCAAAAAAAAAAAAAAAGCACGGGGAUUAAAGCACCCAAAAGCAGCAGCACGAACCAGACGGACACAAGUUACAUUUUCAGCUCCCAGCUACAACUGUACAGCAAUAGAAACUUACAUAGGACACCCGUACUCGCCGGCGAUGUACCAGCCCGCAGCACUGCAUGAAGAGGUGGCAGAACGCAGUCAGAGCGUGCCUCGGCUUCUCGUCACGGCCACUGUCCAUUUCUUCCCACCUUCCACUCCCAGGUAAUUUGAGAUCUUCUUUCAGGGGGCUGCCUACUAGCAGAAAUCUAGAAAAG